rnacentral:rRNA from 1 species
UUACGCCUACGGGGGGCAGCAGUGGGGAAUAUUGCACAAUGGGGGAAACCCUGAUGCAGCGACGCCGCGUGAGUGAAGAAGUAUUUCGGUACGUAAAGCUCUAUCAGCAGGGAAGAAAAAAAGUCCUUUGGACUUUGGACGGUACCUGACUAAGAAGCCCCGGCUAACUACGUGCCAUCAGCCGCGGUAAUACGUAGGGGGCAAGCGUUAUCCGGAUUUACUGGGUGUAAAGGGAGCGUAGACGGCAGCGCAAGUCUGGUGUGAAA